UUCCGGUUGAUCCUGCCGGAGGUCACUGCUAUCGGGGUUCGAUUAAGCCAUGCGAGUCGAGAGGGUUCAGACCCUCGGCGGACUGCUCAGUAACACGUGGAUAAUCUGCCCUAUGGUGGAGGAUAACCCCGGGAAACUGGGGAUAAUACUCCAUAAGUCAGGAGUACUGGAAUGUCUCCUAACUGAAAGUUUCGGCGCCAUAGGAUGAAUCUGCGGCCGAUUAGGUAGUUGUUGGGGUAACGGCCCAACAAGCCCGUAAUCGGUACGGGUUGUGGGAGCAAGAGCCCGGAGAUGGAAUCUGAGACACGAUUCCAGGCCCUACGGGGCGCAGCAGGCGCGAAAACUUUACAAUGCAGGAAACUGUGAUAAGGGAACCCCGAGUGCCCGUACACGCGGGCUGUCCCGGUGUUUAAAACACAUCGGAAGAAAGGGCCGGGCAAGACCGGUGCCAGCCGCCGCGGUAAUACCGGCGGCUCGAGUGGUGACCACUUUUAUUGGGCUUAAAGCGUUCGUAGCUUGAUUUUUAAGUCUCUUGGGAAAUCUCACGGCUUAACUGUGAGGCGUCUAAGAGAUACUGGGAAUCUAGGGACCGGGAGAGGUAAGAGGUACUUCAGGGGUAGAAGUGAAAUUCUGUAAUCCUUGAGGGACCACUGAUGGCGAAGGCAUCUUACCAGAACGGCUUCGACAGUGAGGAACGAAAGCUGGGGGAGCGAACGGGAUUAGAUACCCCGGUAGUCCCAGCCGUAAACUAUGCGCGUUAGGUGUGCCUGUAACUACGAGUUACCGGGGUGCCGAAGUGAAAACGUGAAACGUGCCGCCUCGGAAGUACGGUCGCAAGGCUGAAACUUAAAGGAAUUGGCGGGGGAGCACCACAACGGGUGGAGCCUGCGGUUUAAUUGG
rnacentral:rRNA from 1 species